GGCCUGCGGAGGGAUCAUUGCUGGAACGCGCCCCAGGCGCACCCAGAAACCCUUUGUGAACUUAUACCUUACUGUUGCCUCGGCGCUAGCUGGUCCUUCGGGGCCCCUCACCCUCGGGUGUUGAGACAGCCCGCCGGCGGCCAACCUAACUCUUGUUUUUACACUGAAACUCUGAGAAUAAAACAUAAAUGAAUCAAAACUUUCAACAACGGAUCUCUUGGUUCUGGCAUCGAUGAAGAACGCAGCGAAAUGCGAUAAGUAAUGUGAAUUGCAGAAUUCAGUGAAUCAUCGAAUCUUUGAACGCACAUUGCGCCCUCUGGUAUUCCGGAGGGCAUGCCUGUUCGAGCGUCAUUUCAACCCUCAAGCCUGGCUUGGUGAUGGGGCACUGCUUUUACCCAAAAGCAGGCCCUGAAAUUCAGUGGCGAGCUCGCCAGGACCCCGAGCGCAGUAGUUAAACCCUCGCUCUGGAAGGCCCUGGCGGUGCCCUGCCGUUAAACCCCCAACUUCUGAAAAUUUGACCUCGGAUCAGGUAGGAAUACCCGCUGAACUUAAGCAUAUCAA
rnacentral:rRNA from 1 species